CUAGCGCUGUGAUGCGAGUGCUUUCAAUACUGUAAUGCAAAGGGCGGAAACUGUAUUAUAACCAUCUAACUCGCAAUUAGGCACAGUCUGAGGACUUUUA